UGGCGAACGGGUGAGUAACACGUGAGUAACCUGCCCUUGACUCUGGGAUAAGCCUGGGAAACUGGGUCUAAUACCGGAUAUGACCAUCUGACGCAUGUCAUGGUGGUGGAAAGCUUUUGUGGUUUUGGAUGGACUCGCGGCCUAUCAGCUUGUUGGUGGGGUAAUGGCCUACCAAGGCGACGACGGGUAGCCGGCCUGAGAGGGUGACCGGCCACACUGGGACUGAGACACGGCCCAGACUCCUACGGGAGGCAGCAGUGGGGAAUAUUGCACAAUGGGCGGAAGCCUGAUGCAGCGACGCCGCGUGAGGGAUGACGGCCUUCGGGUUGUAAACCUCUUUCAGUAGGGAAGAAGCGAAAGUGACGGUACCUGCAGAAGAAGCGCCGGCUAACUACGUGCCAGCAGCCGCGGUAAUACGUAGGGCGCAAGCGUUAUCCGGAAUUAUUGGGCGUAAAGAGCUCGUAGGCGGUUUGUCGCGUCUGCUGUGAAAGACCGGGGCUCAACUCCGGUUCUGCAGUGGGUACGGGCAGACUAGAGUGCAGUAGGGGAGACUGGAAUUCCUGGUGUAGCGGUGAAAUGCGCAGAUAUCAGGAGGAACACCGAUGGCGAAGGCAGGUCUCUGGGCUGUAACUGACGCUGAGGAGCGAAAGCAUGGGGAGCGAACAGGAUUAGAUACCCUGGUAGUCCAUGCCGUAAACGUUGGGCACUAGGUGUGGGGGACAUUCCACGUUUUCCGCGCCGUAGCUAACGCAUUAAGUGCCCCGCCUGGGGAGUACGGCCGCAAGGCUAAAACUCAAAGGAAUUGACGGGGGCCCGCACAAGCGGCGGAGCAUGCGGAUUAAUUCGAUGCAACGCGAAGAACCUUACCAAGGCUUGACAUGAACCGGAAAGACCUGGAAACAGGUGCCCCGCUUGCGGUCGGUUUACAGGUGGUGCAUGGUUGUCGUCAGCUCGUGUCGUGAGAUGUUGGGUUAAGUCCCGCAACGAGCGCAACCCUCGUUCUAUGUUGCCAGCGCGUUAUGGCGGGGACUCAUAGGAGACUGCCGGGGUCAACUCGGAGGAAGGUGGGGACGACGUCAAAUCAUCAUGCCCCUUAUGUCUUGGGCUUCACGCAUGCUACAAUGGCCGGUACAAAGGGUUGCGAUACUGUGAGGUGGAGCUAAUCCCAAAAAGCCGGUCUCAGUUCGGAUUGGGGUCUGCAACUCGACCCCAUGAAGUCGGAGUCGCUAGUAAUCGCAGAUCAGCAACGCUGCGGUGAAUACGUUCCCGGGCCUUGUACACACCGCCCGUCAAGUCACGAAAGUUGGUAACAC
rnacentral:rRNA from 1 species